GAGGAACUAGGUGUGUGAGCAUUGCUUUCCUUGGGAUUCUUUUUUUUUUGGUACUUUCAACAUUUAAGCAUCUCAUUGAUUUGCAAUUUGGCAUUUAAAAUCUUUAAAAAUUUUAUUUAACAAAAUCUGAACCAGAUGAAUUAUAUGAAAACAUUUGCAUGAGAAAUUUGGAAGUCAGAACAGAAAAGCUAAAUAAAAUGAUGGUAGAUAGCUGAACACUGGUUUUUGUAAGGCAAAUCUAUUAGAAAAGGCACCUUGUUUGAUAUUUUUAGCAGUUUUGUGAAUAAUAGCAACAGGUGUCUUGUGCAUGUGCUCAUUUGAACAUGUUAUAGUAUUUUGGUUUGUAAGAGUAUUAAUAAAUGCAAUUAAACAUUAAAAUCGACAAUGGUAUUUUUUGAAAGCGAAUCAACAUAUGGCAUCUAGUAAUGGUACAAGAUAUUAUUUGAGCAGUUGUAGCACUUUUUGAUGAAGAACCAUUAAAGAGAACGAGUAUUUGAAGAAGUGGGAGUCCAAGAUAAAAUUCUUUUAUUGUAUAUGAAACACAUGCCAAUGAGCCCUUCCCCUUUUCUACCUUGACCAAAUAAGAAGGGGGCUUUGGGUUAGGAAAGAUGCUUGUUGACAAAUAUAAUAGUCAAAUUAGUGAAAAUACAAAAAAGUACCAUGUGCUGUGAGUUUAUGCUUUUAGACCUUAGAUCUUGUGUUUGUUUGUGUUUUAUAGGUCUCUUUCUUUCUUCUUAUUUAUUUAUUAUUUAUUUUUUACACUUGUGUCAUUAGCACCUAGGUGCCAAACUGAUUAACACUGUUAGUUCGGGAUAAGAUAACAAUGUGAUAAUGUGGCAUAGAUUGUUAUAAAAGAAUGACUUUUGGGUCUCUCUUUUAUAGUUAAGGUCUCUCUCUCUCUCUCU
rnacentral:misc_RNA from 1 species